rnacentral:misc_RNA from 1 species
GAAACGCGAUAGUUAAUGUGAAUUGCAGAAUUCAGUGAAUCAUCGAGUCUUUGAACGCACAUUGCGCCCCCUGGCAUUCCGGCGGGCAUGUCUGUUUGAGCGUCAUUUCAACACCUCGUCCGCUGACGUUUUCGUCACGCGGUAACGGUCAUGGGCUCCGGCCGAGCGGUUCUUCGGAACCGUUGGCGGGCUUUAAAGUUGAACGCUCUGCGGGUGACUCAUUGCCAAACCGAACUAGUAGAAUUUCUUUCUGUUGGGUAAGGUUGGGCUCACCUCGCCUGAACAAAACCACAAAUUUUUAAGGUUUGACCUCAGAUCAGACAAGGAUACCCGCUGAACUUAA